rnacentral:misc_RNA from 1 species
GAUGAAGAACGUAGCGAAAUGCGAUAAGCAAUGUGAAUUGCAGAAUUCAGUGAAUCAUCGAAUCUUUGAACGCACAUUGCGCCCGCCAGUAUUCUGGCGGGCAUGCCUGUUCGAGCGUCAUUUCAACCCUCAGGCCCCGCCUGGCGUUGGGGAUCGGCGCGGCCCUCUCCGGGCUGCCGGCCCCGAAAACUAGUGGCGGUCUCGCUGUAGUCCUCCUCUGCGCAGUAGCAACGCUCGCACUGGAACUCGGCGCGGCCACGCCGUAAAACACCCCACUUCUGAAAGUUGACCUCGGAUCAGGUAGGAAUACCCGCUGAACUUAAGCAUAUCAAUAAGCGGAGGA